CAGCCGACAGAGCUGUGCUACCCAAGUUUUGGCUGCCGUGAUUCUGAGACAACAGGUCUUCCCUGAGCGGCAUCUGGAACGGGGUCGCCACUGAGAGGUCCAGCAAAGUGCUGAACCAGUUGGUUCAGCCACACUGGCACUAUGUGGGUGACAUUUGCCCUGUCCUGUUUGAUCUUCAUGAGGACCCUGGGGAGCAAUGGCACAGGAGCAGGAAGGCAUCCAACAGGGAUCCCCUUUCCCUGCCCUUGAACAAGCAGAAGAAAUGGCAUUUUCUGUUGUGCCUGGACGCAAAUAGGUCCACCUGGGGAGUUUCCCACCUGUGCAAGAUAGAACUGACCACCGCUGGAUGGAGGGACCACUCGCGGUGAGAUGAGAAUGUCCUGCUGAGGCAGUCUGGCCAAGCGUUCCUGACCCCUGGGAGGUGAGCGUCCACAAGAUGGAUGUCGUGCUGCAGACAGAAGUUCCAGAGCCAGAGCGCUUCCUGACAGAGCGCAGACAACUGUUGAUAUAGAAGACCGUGGCCGUGUUGUCCAUUAGGACCUGAACCACACUGCUUUGUAUGUGAGGCAGAACGGCUUGGCAGGAUAUGUGAACCGCCUUGACAUUGAUGUGCAGGGACUGAUCGUGACUGGACCCGUGGCCUUGAGUACUGAGGUCGCCCAGGUGGGCUACCCAACCCAGAUCCAAAGCCUUGAGAGACUGGGGCCGCAAAGGGGACUCCUUCCAGCACCAAAGUGGGAUCUUGCCACCAGGCCCAGGUCGUGGCAGGUGAAACAGACCAGAUUGAGAUGCUUCCACACCUGAUCCACACCUUAUCAACCAGUCGUCGAGGUAUGGGUAGAUUUGGACUCCCUGAUGUUGCAGGAGCCGGAAUGAGAGGUACCCCAAGAUCUUGACAACAGUGGAGGGCAGAACAACUUUCUAGCCUGCUGAGGAGUAUGCAGGCCCAAGGAGCAGACGGUGGCCCAGGAGUCUUUAAGGCAAUGGAGUCUUGCAUCAGUUAGCUCCAAGAAUAGCCCUGUUUCCUCAAAAGGGAGGUCCUGGAGAGUAGUUUGCAUCUCCUGGGACAGCCCGGAGGUCUGUAACCAGGAGCUGCACCUCAUGACUAUCGCAGAGGUGACCACUCUGGACACCUUGCCCUCUUCCACCAGAGUGGUGAACUCCUGCACCUGAUCCUGUGGGAGGCUCUCUUUGAACUUGCUGACAGAGUCACACAGGUUGAAAUUGUAUCUGCCAAGUAGAUCCUGAUCAUUAGAGAUCCUAAAUCGGAAGCUGGGUGUUGAGUAAAUUUUUCUGCCAAAUAAGUCCAAUCUCUUGGCAUCUUUAUUUUUGGGGGUGCCACUUUGCCUGUCCCUGCUUGGCCCUUUCGUUGACAGCAGACAUGACCAGGGACCCCGCAGGACAGUGCGUGUAAAGGUAUUCAUCCCCCUUGGCAGGGGCAUAGUACUUCUUUUCUGCCUCCUUGGACAUGGGCGGAAUGGAAGAUGGGGUCUGCCCCACCAACUUGGCGAUCUUUAGGACCCCUGGGUGAACGGGCAAUGCGACCCGGGCUGGGGCAGAGGAGGGAAUGACAUUGAAGAGGUCAUCGGGUUUCUCAGCUAGCUCCUUAACCUCCAA